AUUAUAAUUACAUUGAUACAUUAUUAUAGUUUACUGAUCCCAAUAGUCACAGCCCAGUCCUAGCUGCAUUAUGACAUCACAGACGCAUCAUAAUAGAGCUUUGGCUGGGGUAAUAGCAGGGGCUUUAGCAGUUACUGCCAUUCCAGUGAUAAUAUCUUGACGUGAUAACAUCUGUGCAACACAGCGGAUAGAACACCAUGGAGAAAGGAAACAACGGGAAACUCGGGGCGUCUACCUAUUACAAGAAACGCACAAGAGUGAGCGCGGGGGCCAAAACAUCUGGGAAAGAGAAGAAAGAAGGAAAAAGAAAGAAAACAGUGUCUUUUGCUGAGAAUGUUGAAAUA